GAACCCUAGAUCAGCUCCUUGCC
rnacentral:siRNA from 1 species